rnacentral:rRNA from 1 species
UACAGAGGUCUCAAGCGUUUGUUCGGAUUCAUUGGGCGUAAAGGGUGCGUAGGUGGCGCGGUAAGUCGGGUGUGAAAUUUCGGAGCUUAACUCCGAAACUGCAUUCGAUACUGCCGUGCUUGAGGACUGGAGAGGAGACUGGAAUUUACGGUGUAGCAGUGAAAUGCGUAGAGAUCGUAAGGAAGACCAGUGGCGAAGGCGGGUCUCUGGACAGUUCCUGACACUGAGGCACGAAGGCCCAGGGGAGCAAAACGGG